rnacentral:rRNA from 1 species
UGAGGGAAUAUUUGGGGUCAAUGGACGAAAGUCUGAACCAGCCAUGCCGCGUGAAGGAAUAAGGCCCUAUGGGUCGUAAACUUCUUUUGUAUGUGAGCAAUAAGGUCCACGUGUGGACCGAUGAGAGUAGCAUACGAAUAAGCAUCGGCUAACUCCGUGCCAGCAGCCGCGGUAAUACGGAGGAUGCAAGCGUUAUCCGGAUUCAUUGGGUUUAAAGGGUGCGUAGGCGGCUUGGUAAGUCAGCGGUGAAAUUCCAGUGCUCAACAUUGGCCGUGCCGUUGAUACUGCUGGGCCUGAAUGCGGAUGCCGUGGAGGAAUGUGUGGUGUAGCGGUGAAA